UACGUAGGGUGCGAGCGUUAAUCGGAAUUACUGGGCGUAAAGCGUGCGCAGGCGGUUUUGUAAGCCAGAUGUGAAAUCCCCGGGCUCAACCUGGGAAUGGCAUUUGGGACUGCAAGGCUGGAGUGCGGCAGAGGAGACUGGAAUUCCUGGUGUAGCAGUGAAAUGCGUAGAUAUCAGGAGGAAUACCGAUGGCGAAGGCAGGUCUCUGGGCUGACACUGACGCUCAUGCACGAAAGCGUGGGAGCAAACGAGG
rnacentral:rRNA from 1 species